rnacentral:rRNA from 1 species
CCUACGGGAGGCAGCAGUGGGGAAUAUUGGGCAAUGGGCGCAAGCCUGACCCAGCAACGCCGCGUGAAGGAAGAAGGCUUUCGGGUUGUAAACUUCUUUUAUCAGGGACGAAGCAAGUGACGGUACCUGAUUAAUACGCCACGGCUACCUACGUGCCAGCAGCCGCGGUAAUACGUAGGUGGCAAGCGUUAUACGGAUUUACUGGGAGUAAAGGGCGUGUAGGCGGGGGGGCAAGUCAGAUGUGAAAACUAUGGGCUCAACCCAGAGCCUGCAUUUGAUACUGUAAUGCUUGAGUGCUGGAGAGGCAAGCGGAAUUCCGGGUGUAGCGGUGAAAUGCGUAGAUAUACGGAGGAAAACCAGUGGCGAAGGCGGAUUGCUGGACAGUAACUGACGCUGAGGCGCGAAAGCGUGGGGAGCAAACAGGAUUAGAUACCCGUGUAGUC